UACAGAGGUCCCAAGCGUUGUUCGGAUUCACUGGGCGUAAAGGGUGCGUAGGCGGUCGGGUAAGUCUGAUGUGAAAUCUCACAGCUUAACUGUGAAACUGCAUUGGAUACUAUCCGGCUUGAGAGUUGGAGGGGGGACUGGAAUUCUUGGUGUAGCAGUGAAAUGCGUAGAUAUCAAGAGGAACACCAGUGGCGAAGGCGAGUCCCUGGACAACUUCUGACGCUGAGGCACGAAAGCGUGGGGAGCAAACAGG
rnacentral:rRNA from 1 species